AUGCAUGUGCUGGCUCAUUAAGUCACGUGAUUGACACGUGAACUGCGUUGACACAGUCCAGGCGUCUAAUUGACACACCGGCUGCGUUGACACAGUCCAGGCUGCUAAUUGACACACCGGCUGCGUUGACACAGUCCAGGCUGCUAAUUGACACAUCGGCUGCGUUGACACAGUCCAGGCUGCUAAUUGACACGUGAACUGCACCGGUGCAGUUUAGACCGCAUCGGCUGCUUGGCACAGUACAGGCUGCGCCACUUAGUCCAGGGGGCGUCGACUCAGUGCAGAGGGCGUUGACGCAGCAAAAGCCCGCCGCACAGUGUUUAUAAGGAAGUCGUUUGGCGACACAAUGCACCCUGCCGAAACAAGCCAGACCUCACUCACGCUCGCCGAAGUUCGUGUCAGUGCAGACUUCGUGUUCGUGCCUUGCCUUCCUUGCCGAUUAUGGAGCAGAGACGCAAAUCAUCCGCCGUGUGGGACCAUUUUGAUGUCCCGGAGAAUAAGGUGAAAUGUCGAAUUUGCCGGGUCGAAUUGUCAUACACCAACAGAAGCACCUCCACCAUGCUGAGGCAUUAUCGGGCCAAGCAUGAGAAUGAAGUUCGCGAUACACCCAGUAUUACGCCAGGUUGACUCUCCACUCCAUGUUUGACAAUCAAGGUUCCAGGAAGCAGCUGUACUGGAAGGACCAACACACUUCUUUCCCAAACCUCUCCCACCUCGCAAAGGAGUUCCUUUGUACGCCAGCCUCAUCCGUCCCUUGUGAGCGUGUGUUCUCCACAGCAGGAGAAAUCGCUUGUAAAAGACGCAACAGGCUGAAGUUUAAAACAUUGGAGCAUCUUAUUUUUCUCAAUAAAAACUUGUGAAAUA